rnacentral:lncRNA from 10 species
GACACGUUCAAAUAUUCAUAAAGAAGAAAAAAUAUAGGAAUUUUGGAAAACACAAGUUGUUUAAUCAACUAAAAUUUAUAACCAUAGGCAAACAUUUCAGUGGCAUUUCAUGACAAAAAUUAAGUAUAGCUUUCCUGCACCAAAGUCAGAAUGUGUGAAGAUAUCACAUAUCUGCAAUAUAGAAAGAGUCACUUGAGAUGUUUCUGCAUGAGAUCCUGAGUAUAUUAGAUAAUAGUAUAUUAAUUUUCAUAUUGCUAAAAUUUAUGACAAUGCCAGGCACAAAUUACACAUUGUAUAGCAUUUUUAAUAUAGUAGGUAAUUUAGUUCUAACAACCUCCAGUGUUAUAACUUGAGGAAGAGGUUAAUAGUAACACAUUAUGGCCUAAAAAACAGAAAUACCAGGCAUAGUUUAGACCAGGGGGUCCCCAAACCCAUACCAGUCCAUGGCCUGUUAGUAACCAGGCUGCCGCACAGCAGGGGGUGAGCAGAGGCUGAAACAGGAAAGCUUUCUAUGUAUUUACAGCCUCUCCCUAAUGUUUAUAUUACCACCUGAGCUCCACUUCCUGUCAGAUUAGCAGCACAUUAGAUUCUCAUAGGAGCACAAACUAUUGUGAGCUGUGCAUGCAAGAGAUCUAGGUUGUGUGCUCCUUAUGAAAAUAUAAUGCCUGAUGAUCUGUCAUUGUCUCCCAUUACCCCAGAUGGGACUGUCUCGUUGGAGGAAAACAAGCUCAGGGCUCCCACUGAUUCCACAUUAUGUUGCAAGCUCCUACGAAGCUCCCACUCAAAAAGAAAAAAAAAACAAAACCUGAAAUCUGAGUGAGUCUCUACUCUUUCCUUAGUAAACUAAAAGAACAGCCAUUGUUACAGUUUCUUUGUGACACAGGCCUCAGGCAGAGCGGAACAAUGACCAAUAUUCCUCAGCACAACAAUAGUACAUCAUUGUGCUUAGAGGACAAGACCAAAUCCUCCCUAACAGAGAGAAUAUUCUUUCUCCAAUAUGCCAUUUUGCUGCAGAGAGAAAGUAAGGUAUUAGACAGAGGUGCUAAGUUAAUAGACUACUAAGUAAGAAAGCCUGCUGAUCUGCUCUUGAAUAAGAAAGCGUUGGAUUAGAAUUUGGUUCAUCUCCAUUGGCUAAAUUUCAUGACCCACCUUAAGCCUUCACUUCUCUGCAAAAGCAAACACACCCUUGUCCUCCUGACAGAGGCAUAUGAUGUUAGGUGAGAAUGACAAUUUUAAAGCAAUCAUGAAGCAACAGUUUCUCCUGUGAAUAGGGAGUGAUUUGUCAAGAAGAAGGGAUAUACGUUUUCAGAUGGAACCUUCUGAAGAGGAGGAGUGUGUGUGUAUGUGUAAAUACAAGUGUGAACAUGAAGAAAGGAUAAUAAAGUGAAGAGUGGAAAUACACAUAUGUCUAAUGUGUAUACACAUAAAUACAUGGAUACACAUGUCUAAAUGGCCUUCAGUUUUGAGCUGUCUUUCCUUACAUACAGCAAUAAAAAUUUGAUUUUGUGAGAACUUUAUUCUUCCUAACCUUGAAUUUUCUACAGGUAUUGCUCUACACUUUCAGACUUUCAUAUAAUUUUAUAUGUGCAUAUCACUUCUCUGUAUUUACAUUUUUCUAAAGAGAAGUGGUGGCUAGAUGAUAAUCUUUUGGGUUCAUUUCUUUGAGAGAUAGGAAUCAUUAUUCCCUUGUGUGAGCUAUAACCUAGAAUCUCCAAUGACUUUGGGUAACAGUAGAGAUACCCCAUCUCAGUAUGAUAGCUAUUAGUAUAGUAGACAGUAUAUAGAAAAAUAUGCAUGAGAGGAAGCAAGAUUAAACCUUAAUUAUGCCCUUGAAAGAGCCAAAGAGAAAAAUAAUGGACCGAUCUACAAUUGAGUUACAGAAAAUAACAUGCAGUGAUAAUCCUUCAAUCUUUUGGGCAUAUUACACAAAAGUUCAUUUUUGAGUCAGUAAUCACCUGCCAUGUCUAUUUCUCUCUUUUUUUUUUCUUCUCCAAAUCCUGGAUAUUUCGUAUUCUACUUAUUCUGACCCCAGAGCAUUCUCUUUUUUUUCAUCUUCUAUUUCCUUCCACUCUCUAUCCCUUCCCUUGAAAACUAAAAAUGGAAAAAUAAAAGCAAACAAAAAUAAAACAUUUCUAUUUUUC